CUGCAGGGGCCGGUAAUCCUGCAGCUCGCAGCAACAGAAAAGUCAGCCCUACCCUCUGACACCUCGGCCGGCCCGAGCAGAGCCUUCCUCGGGAGGAGGCCUCACCUCAAGUGACACCACAAUUCUGUGACACGGGUUCAGCGGCUCGACUCCCCCGGAAACCAGAAUGAGCACUCACACCUUCUCCGUCCACUACGAUCAACACAUGUUCUCCCCGCCGCCUCAAGGAGCCUAGCUCUUCGCAGGCAAGCCCACUGCUCUCACCUGCAUCCCACUCACCAGGUCUCCUGCAUUUCCCCGCAGCAUCUCUUCAAACCCCGACAGACAAGGGAGGAGCGGCAAGUGGGGAGCAGGAGGGACCCCGCUUGGCCAGCUUGCAUGACAAGCCCUUGAACCAGAACAGAAACCAGAGCACGAAGGAGCCCAGGCUCUCGCAGGCCCCUCUACGCACGCAAAGCCCGGCUGCUAGAUACCCACCCAGGCGCCCAGUCUUCCCAGCACAGGGCCUGUGCCAGGCAGGCUCAGAGGAACCCUGGUCCACGAAGACUGAUUUUUAAAAAUCGUCUAAUGAGCAGAUCUGUUUGCUCUAAGUCUCAUAAUUUCUCACUCCUCCCUGACCAACUACUCUUUUCUCUGAAAGCCCCGGGAACCUCACCUUCGCUGCUGAUAACUUCAGAGGAAUUGGCUGUAGAGACAGUACAAGUCGGGUAGGGAGAUGUAGGGCCCGGAGAAUCAGUAAAAAUAUCUAUGAUGAAAAAGAACAACAUGCUUAUCCUCAGGGAAGAAUGAAGCAUUUGCAUAAUUCCAAGCUGUUUGUUGUGGUGCCUAUUUAUAAAAGGGAAACAACCAACUUGUCUAACAGUAGAAGCCUGGAACCCUCAACACUAUUAAAAUGAUGCUGUAGAGAUUUAUCUUUGUAGAAAAAUGGGGAAAGGUAACCAUAUAUUAAAGGAAAAUAAAUGUUUGCUUUU